UCAGCAACUGGAGAUUCGAACUAGAGAGUAUAAGACCUCCCACUUGUCAUCAUCCCCAAAAUCAUCGAAAGUGCAAUUUUGAAUGCACAUUUGUUAGGUAAUGACAUCAUCCAAUCCUGCCGAAUAAGUUCACGAGAAAGCCAAAAACUAAUCAGUAAGCUAUAAGCCAACAUUAAGCAAUACACACGACAAAGAAACUACCAAUAUCUCAUGUACCAUUCAGGGUACCAAAUGAUCAUUUGAUAUAAUACUACUACGUUGUCCAGUAAACAAUGUCAUAUUCCAUAUUCUCUAUUCAAGUGACAUCAUCAUCAAGCACUACAGACGUGUCUAUGAACACCUUGGCUCAUUGCUACAAUGCAUAAACUUGAAGGAAGUUGCCUAUGCAUUUAACCAUUUGCUGAUAAAACACGUUUGACAGUCAAGAAAACCCUUAGGCCUUGACAGUCAAACAUGAUUACUAUGAAAGAAGACUCAAAAGAGACUGGCAUGAUUUUCCAUGAAAUGAGUCAAAGUAAAGACUAAGGUCAAACACACUCGGUUAAACCAUCUCAAAAAUUCAGCUCCUCUUUCAGAUGCAAAAUAGCACAUAUAUAAAGCAUUUAUGCAUGCAUGUACAUAUAUAAAUAUAUAUAUAUAUAUAAUUUCAAAAGAGCAUGUGUCAUUACUUACUAUCUCCUAGGACUUGCAGCAGCACCAACCACCCUGACAACAGCAGAAAUUGAAAAUAUUAUACAGGUACCAAAUUGCAUCUGCAAAACCAAAAAAAAAAAAAAAGAAAAAAAUUCAUUCAAUAUUCUUUUGAGUACCUGCCCUGCUGAUUUCCAACUACACUCCCACUGGUCUUCCAUUGAGUUGAACCCUUGUUUUGGGAGCUGCCAAAAUCAUUCUUCUCAGAAUUUGUUCCAUUUCCAUAUGUCAAUAGAGUAGUUUGCCCAUGCCUGCUCUCAGAGCUAUUCAUUCCCGUGUGAUCCUUAGGUUUACUCAAGAUUUUUACAUUUGACACACCUUCACUGUUGCUAAAGGAAACACCAUUUGGAUUCUGGUUCUUCAUUGCAGAUAGCUGAGAUGAGUUAUCGAUGGCAUUUGAAGGCCUGGACACUGCAUACUCCUUAAAAAUGCUCCUGUCAGACUUUCCAGAUGUGGACUCCAUUGAUGGAGCUUUCUUCAACCGGUGAGACUGAGCCAUCGGAGUCACAGCAACAGAAGGCACCAAUGAUGAGUAAGAUGAUGUUACAGCGGCAGCAGCAGCAGCAGCAACCUUAGCAACAGCUGCUGUGGCUGCUAUGAUUUCUUGUGCGCCUUCUCGAAGUUGUAUGUAGUCUCCAUCAAUUACAAAUAACUGGAAAGAGAAAAUAGGUUACUUAAACUUAUUAUUGAGCAAUGCAGAAAUUUAACUUAGGAAGAAAAUGCAUACUUCAGGAUGGCUGGAGACAAACUCAUCAAGCUUCCCAUACUUCUUUUUGUAAUCAUGCCAAUGUAGAGGGGCAAUCAUUUUACCAAGUCUAUUUGGAAGCUGCACAAAAUUAAGGCAUACAUCAUAAACAACUUACAAUGUAAAAAAACAAUCUUGCACUGACAAAAACUUCACUCUGAAAAGGAAGGAAAAAUUGAGAUCAACUAACCGUUGUGGUGAUCCUUAUUCUACCUCCAGAUCCUGGUGGAAUUGUACGGACGAUGCAAGCUAAUAAUGAUCUUUCAUCAAGUAGAUUAGCCUCUGAUAAUUUUCCACCUAUACCUGUAUUUUUCUGACCCGUAGCAGCGAAGGAUUCAGAAAGAAUGACUUCUGCAGCAGUAUCCAUUGUACUUUCGCUCAGAUUUGCAGCAUGAUUUGCUUCUUCAGAAGAUGAUUCAUUGGAGACAGAGCCACUUUUCUCCAUCAUUAAACCUUGCACCUCCAUAGGAGAAUUAGAUAAUGAGUUGACAUUCUUCUCCUGUUCCAGAUGAAGAUUUUAAUGAAUCGAAAUACAAAUUCUCCACUGACAAAUAGACAGCGAGCCUAGCACAAGCAACCAGACCAUUAGGUGAACUUAACCCUGGAGACCCAUUGAAUUAAGCAACUGCAUUACCUUUGUGUCGUUAACGUGUGCAAGAGAAUCCAAUCUCAAAGCAUCAUGAAACUGGGAAGAUAUUUGUUGCAAGCUCUGCUGAGGUUGGGCUCCAGAAAGGUAGCUUGUAUCUAUGGAUUCAACUGGCUGCAAUAGAUUUGUGGCUGAAGAGAAUGAGUAUCCACAUAAAAGAAGCAACAAAGACAAGUUUAAGCAAUUAUAGUUUUAAGCCAUCGACCUGUCCCUCCACAUUUGAGGAUGAAACCACAGAAUGAGGUUCCAUUCCUUGGCUGAUGUUAACGUUCAUAUAACCCGAAUGAAGAACCUGACCAUUUACAGAGGAUUCAUAGUUGUAAUUGGAAUCCGACCUCAACAUGUUAGGUUCAGUUUGUAGAGAAUGUUGAUCAUGAGUUGCUGCACCCUCUGAUAAAGCCUAAGACAGCAACAGUGACACUGGUAAACCAUCACACUGAAGGUAAACACUCGAGAUAAACCAGCCAAAAUUUUAAUAGAGCACCUGUUGGUUUUGCCACUGCUGAAGUGAUGACAUUGCUGGCACAGAGUGAAAAUGUCCAACAUGUGAUGGUACAGAAUGAGGUACCCCUUGCUGAUGCACCACAAAGGGAUGCACGGCAGUCAUCUGUCCAUGUGGAAGGUAAGUUGGCAUCCCAAGUAGGGAUGAAGGAGCAAUUGGAACACCAUGGGCAUGAUCAGCCUAGCAACAUAAGGUGGAAAAGAUAAAGUGAAAGAAAACCAUCAUAUUUGUGUUUUAUAUUCAUGAGUUGGACAUGACAUGGAGGAAGAACAAAUGUGCUGAAAGUAAUAAAAAACUAGGGAAAAAAUAGUUUACAAAAAAUUAAAAAGGUGACAGGAGCAUCUCCAACUCAACGUUGAUCUAGAUUCAAAUAGCUUUAUACUUCUACAAUGCCAACAAUCUCAAAUUAGUUUCUUUAUAAUACAGAAAACUGUAGGGUACUUUUCAAUCCGCAGCAGAUACAGUAAGGACUGGCAACCAGUGCCACCUUUCUAGAACUUGUCAUUCAGCUGAUGACAACAAAGAUUACAGCUUCAUGGAAUUAACCGACAACUUCUAAUAGUUGUUUGCAUGCUUGUGAAGUUGAUAGAUGCAGAAUUGAAUAUCCAAAACAUUCUAACAACUUAGGCAUCUUCAACUAUGAGAUCCUCAGAUAUAUUCAACAAGUAAACAGAGAUAUGGAUUGCAGUUUGAAAAAAAAAAGAAGAAUUGGGACUUCCUUGGGAUACAUAAAGGAUUAAAAUGUAGCAACGCCCUAAAGUAAGGUGUAAAUGUAUUGAAGAGCUAUACAACAUAUUUGAUGCCUUUCAAAGAAGCAGUACAAAAUUCCAAAAACAAAAAGAAAUCUUCUGUCUAACGCCUCAUUAUUUACACAAACUCCUCAUUUUAAUAAUCUGUAUUGGAAUGAGAAUGCAAGAGUGAAUUUAGGAUAGGUAUCACCCACAAAUGACACCCAUCCAUAUAUUCGUUAAAAAGGAAUUGUUUCAGCAAUAUUUGCAAAACAAACAUCCAGACAAUAAUUUUAGUGGAAACUCUACCUGCACUGAUGCAUUGCCUACUGAAACAAACGAAGCAUUAUCAGCAUUUCCAUUAGGUAGGCUAGAGCUUUCACCAGGUGAACCACUUCCACUCAUAUCCAGGUGGCCACUAUUGCUCUUUCCAAUCUGGGAAACAUCCCUUGGAUUUGUCUGAGAAACAUGUGAGGCAUCUGAGUAUGUGUUGCUUCUUUCUCUUGCAUCAGCCAAUUCAUGCUGCAGCUGUUGUAUAUGGAGAUGAAGACGCUCCAUCUCACCAAACUAAGAAAACAACAAAUAUCAUUGGCUUUAACUGAUACACAUACCAAUACAUUUUGUUUCUAGGGAAAUCAUGUAGUACUUGUAAAGAAUUAGGAUGAAGAAGAAAUCAAGAGCAGGAGACCAGCAAGGAAAUGUGAAAGUACAAUUUUGGUUAAACCUUAACAACCUGUCUUUGACAACCAAGCCAAAGCUGAUUAUAUUGCUCUGUGCGUUCUCGAAGUUCAGCCUGUAAAGAGUGGUUAGUAGUUGAUUGUAGUGCAUCCAUCUCCUGUACACGAGUUAUCCAAGCCUGGGCCUCUCUCAACUGUUCAUCUUUGAAGAGGAUGUUCUCUUGAGCAAUCCUAUUCUGCAUGAUGAAGAUUCCCAACCAGUCACAGUAUUGAAUAAAUAUGAUUGAACAACUUUUUCAAAAAAUGCUGGAAAAACUGACAUGGUAAUUCUACAAAGGGAAACAAAUUAAAAUUCAUGUAUGAUCUUUGGGGAGCAUAUUAAUUAGCAGGAUAUAAACGAAAAGGCCCAAAAAAAAUUCCUCCAAUUCGCAUUUUAAAAUGGUCAAAAAGCUUUGCUAAAGUAGAUGAAAAUUGCUAACUUCAGAUUCAAAAGCAAUACCUGUUCCUGCAACUCCAUCAGCUGUCGGUCCUUUUCUUGAAAAUGUUCCUGAAGUUCAUGGAUUUGUUUGAUAUGCUGGGCUCUUUCAGCCUCGGUGUUAUCUCGCUCCCUCCUACAAAAACAAAGCAGAAGAACAAAUGUUGAACGCUCACAACAACAUACAACAGGAAAAAAUUUAUCUCUCUUCGUCAAGCAACCAGGACUUUAUCUGAAUGAAAUUUCGAAAGCUUGCCAAGAAAAUGAUGGGCAUAAAGACGAGAGGACUAUAGCCAAAAAGUCACCUCAUUUCCACUAAAAAAUGGGCUCUGACCUCAGAAUAUUCUAGAGCUCAUACCUGUACGUUUGUAGCUCUUUGCUCUGCUCUCUAAGAAGAUCCUCUUUAGCCCAUGCCUGCUAAAGUUUAUAACAAAGAAUGAAUUUAGGUUAGCAAGCGCGCCAGGGGCUGAAACAAGAUUACCUUCAAUAACGUGAAAAGUUGCAAAACAAACCGCUUCAUUGUCUAGUCUGAUAGCGUGCAGCUCCCUUUCUUUGUCUUCCAUCUUUCUCUCCAACUCGAGUAUCCUUUGUUCCUUCUCUCGCAGUUGCUCCUUCACAGGCAGUGAAAGGGCUAUUCAAUAAGCAACCCAGAAGUGCCAAAAAAAAAGGAUCCACAAACUCGUUACUCUAAAAAUGCAUAUACGCUAAUCAGCUAAACAUGAAACCUGAAGCUUGAUUUUGGCAUUUUCAUGCUCUUUGAUAUGAGCAUCAUAAGUGCUCCGCAUCUCCAUAAUUUCUCCCCUUGCUAUAAGUUGAGCGCGAAGUUCGGUCUCCAUCUGCUGCAACUCCUCUCUUUGUUUCACCACGCUAUGCAGCCUCUGCUGCAAAAUAUCAUUGUCCAAACUUCCGUCAAUGGUAAUGGAACAGAAAUCCACAUCAGCCGGCUCUCUUCCCUGUUGCACCUUAACACCACAUAAAAUAACCUUCACUUUUCACUCACAUUCCCUAAUCAAAAGAGUAUUAAUACAGAAAAAGUCCAUAAGACCCCAUUUUUAAGAAGACAUUUAUUACCUCGUAUAUCAAUCUCUCAUCCGAUUGCCCCAACUUUGAACGCUCCAAUUCCUACAGUUCACCAUUAUUGUAAUCUCAAUUAAAAGCGACAAAAUUCACAAGCCCUUUCAAUCUAAGUAGUAAGAAACAAGCAAUGCAAGUAGGCUUUGAAAGUAAAGAAUACCUCGUUGCUGGAACUUCGAACCGAUGUUUCGGAAACAACCCUCCAUUCUUUGCGAGAAGGUUGAGACGAGGGCACGGACAGAGAAACACCGCGUGCGGCUGCAACACCUGCCGCGGCCUCCAUUGGUCAAAUCUCCCCACUACAAAUAGUCCUCCAAUUUCUCGCUGACAAAAUUUUUUUUUUUUAAAAAAACCCUAAUAUCUCCCCCAAAACCCUAAAGAAUGUAUAUCGGCAAGCAAGAGAGAAAUAAAGACACCGUAAAGCGAGAAAUAAAGGACUAAAAUGAGGUCAAAGAAGGGUUGAAUCAAAUGAAUGAGACAGAAUUGCCAUGCUUCAGAGUCAGUCAGUGAGUUAAGGAAUGGAUUUGUAGACUACCGACCAGCUCUCUCUCACUUACUUUCUCUCUCUACGGUGGCGUAUAUACAGAUUUUUAGGGGAGAAGGUGGGGAUUUUUAACUAUUUAAUUUACUAAUUGGCUUUAAAGGGAAUUGGAUGUUGGAGGCUAAAAAAAGUGAAAAUGAGUCGAAACGUUUGACGACACGAGAAAACGAAGAGAGUUUGCGGUGCGUGAGGAGAUAUGAUUGGGCGUUGGGCAUGGAUACCCCAAAGCCCAAGCAAAUGCCCAACACUCCCGCCUUUUUUCAUACAUGAUGAAGAAAAUCUUUUACGUCCGAGUUGCUUCUUUGAGCCAACCCAUUUUGCACUACUCUACUCUAGUACAAAUAGUUCAAAUAGGUUUAACAUAUGAACCGUUUUUACACUAUGUGGUAUGAUGCAAUUGUGACUGAGAUGCCGACACCAAAACAAACUUAACUUGUGCUGUUCUUAAUUUGGAUCAUGGCCUAACAAAAAUUGGUUUUAUAACAUGUAUUCCUGCCACUAGAAUCGACCCAAUGAUUAGGAUAGGGUAAAGUUCUUAAUGUCUUUUUAGCUACUAGAUUCACAUUUUGUAUAUGACAGUUAGAGGUAGAAAAGGCACGACAAAACUUCAUCUAUAUAAGACCUAAUCAGGAGCUCUUCGAAUCCUGUAUUUGACAAUUAAAAGUAGGAAAGGCAUCCAAAGGCAUGAAAAAAUUUCGUCUACACAAGACUUGAUCAGGAGCUCUAGUAGGUUUAAGGAUUCCUUAGUCGAUAAUUUGUGAGGAGUAAGCACUUAAUAUGACUCAAUCAAAUUUGAGUCGAGCUUGACGUUUCAAUUUAUCCUCGUGCUCAAGUUCAAUAAGUUAUAAACUUUAAUUGAAUCCGAUUGCACCCUUCAAUUAAAACGUGGAUGUUUUUGUAACCUUAAUAUUUUCGAGUGAUGAAAAAUGGACAAAUACUUGGGUAGACCCGAUUUAUGGUCCCACCCAUAGAUCAAAUGAUCCAGAAUUUGUCACGUUAUCAAUGCGAAUUUAACACUUCAAAACCAAAAUUGUUCCAUCUCUCUACUCAUCAUCUGGAUCCACAACAACAUUGACUGAAUUAAUAAGCUCUUCUCUCAAGGCUUUUGCUAUUCCUUUUAUGCCUUCCAUUCUUACUCUUGACAGUAAACAUCUCAACUGAGCAGUAUACUAAAUAUAUAAAGGUCCAACCACAUUUUUUUUUUGGUCUUUAUAAUAUCAACUAAUUUUGCCUUACGAAUCAGGUUUACAUAUGCAAAGUUAAGUCAUUCGAAGUUGGAAUUCAUUCUUAAAAUGAUAUGAGAAAUGAGACAUAAUGGCAAAAAAAGUAUAAAAAUAAAAAAGAACUUGGGAUAGAAAAUUUUGAAAAAUGAGAGGAAGAAAAUCUAUUAGUCAUAUCUUUCAUUUGAUUUUCAGAUCUACUUAAAAAAUUUAUAAGUCUUGCAUUUUUGGAGGACAUUAGAAACUAUAAGAUAAGUGAUGGAACUUUUAUGAUAGAGAAUAAGAGGCCAAAACAGUUGGAGAUGUAAAUAUUAUCCCAAUAAAGAGGAAGAGGGAGAAAAAUCUUUUAACAGAGGAGGUGAGAAGUUUAUAGGUUACCAGAGUAGUAAGAAAUUGCAGGAUGGAAGAGAAAUGAGUAGUGAAAUUAGGUCCUAUUUCUCAAAUGAGGUUUUUAGAUAUUUAUUCAAAAUUUUGCUGUAACUUAUGGUAGAAUUUAUAGAAAAACUUUUUGAGGCGAGUAAAAAAUUUCCUUUUUUUUUUUCAAAGAAACUUUUCUUUUUCAUUUUCUUUCUCUUUCAUUUUCUUCUUUUUUUUUCCUUCUCUUCUUCUUCACCCCCACCCCAUUGUUCUUUUUCUCCAUUCCUUAUGGCAAUCAAUGAGGCUAGCUUCUCUUUUUUUUCCCUUUUUUCGCUCUCUCUCUCCCAUCCACUCAUUUCCUCUCAUUCUCCUCCCUCCUUCUCUUCCUUCCCUCUUCUCCUCUCUCUUCUCCCCCUUUCCCCAUUUUAUCCCUCCACCUUCUUCCCCCUCUCCCUUCCCCUGUCACCCUCCCCCUUUCUCAUGUGCGAUUUGGUCGCACAGCGGUGACGUUAGUCUACUCAUUGCAAAGUAUUUGUUAUAUUAGAUAGAAUACGUAGAAUACAUCCAAAUCUCAUAUAAGAGAAGGGAAGGGUGACGGGAUGGGGGAAAAGGUGGAGGGAGAAAGUAGGGAAAGAGAGAUAGGGGAUGAGAAGAUGAGAGGAAGCGAGAAAGCGGAGAGAAAGAAAAGAAAAAAAAAAAGAAAGAAAAAACGGUAGCCAGCGUCAACGCCAAAAGAGUUGACGUCUGGCGUUGGCCAGUGGCUCUGGUGGUGAUGGGUUGAAAUGGAAUGAGGAAAAAGAAGAAUAGAGAGAAGAGAAUUUUUUUUUUGUGUUUUUUGGUAUUAUAAUGUAGGUAUUUUUUAAAUUGUAGUUAAAAUUGUAAAAAAAUUUGUAAAAAAAAAUUUGGCAACAAAUCCAUUUGCCAAAUAGGACCUUAGGUUGGAGGAAAGAGGUAAAGGGUAAUGUCUAUAAUGGUGGUGGUAAUAACUAGAGCAUUAAGCAAAGCAGCAGUGAUAGAGCAAAAAGAUAGAUGAUAUUGAGGAUUCGGUGGUUGUAAAUUUAGAAGAAGAGGAGUGUAUAACCGAGAAGAUGACGUGGAACAUUUUUAUCAAUCAAUCUACAUGAGAGGUCGUAAACCGAAUCUACCCAAAAAUUUUCCAUGAAAAUGUGAUAUGAGGUACGUUUCUGGUUGGCAGUUGCAAAAGGGAUGAGGUCGGGUAAUUAGUUACGUCUAUCAUUCUUGAGUUUUGAGUUAUACGACCCAUUAACUUUAUCGUUCAUGAGUACGCUUAUUUGACAAGUGAAUUUUUUGGGUGUUUGUCUAAAUUUUAAUUGUAACUUAUUGUAUAAUUUGUAGAAAACCUUUUUAGGGUGUGUAAAUUUUUUUUUUCCUUUUUCUUCGUCUUUCUUUUUCAUUUUUUUCUUAAUCUUUCUUUAUUUCGUUUUCCUUUUAUUUCAUAUACUCUUCUUCUUCUCCAUUCCCAUCUUUGAUCUUCCUCACUGCUUUCUCGCUAUAGGCGGCUGCUGGUGUCACAAAAAAUCAUUUUUUGCUUCUCUCUCACUUUGUCUUUGUCUCUCAUUCUUCCUCCUCUUCUCUCCAUCUUUCCCCUUAUCGCCUCCUUUUUUUUCUUCCUCGUCACCCUUCUCCUACUUCUAACAUAAUUUGAUCGCAUGACCAGAUCAUACUAGGGAAAGGAGGAGGGUGGCAAAAUGAGGGAGAAGGGAAGUGGAGGAGGUGACAGGAGAGAAAGUAGGAGAUAGCUGGAGAGAAAAGAGGAAGAGAGGAAGGGAGGAAAGAAAAAGGGGAUAAGGAAGGAGGAGAAUGAGAGGGAAGAGAGAAAGAAACAAAAACUAAAGAGAUCAGUGGUACUGGUCAACCACGAAAAUAGUGAUGGGUUGAUGAGAUGGGGAGAGGAAGAAAAGAAAAGAAAUAAGAAAAAAAAUUUGUUUGUUUUUUUGGGUAUUUUAAAAUUUUUGAAAAGUUUUUUAAUAUUACACAACUUAAAGUUGUUAAAAAAUUAUAGGAGAAAACUUGGCAAACAACUCGUCUGCCAAAUAGGUGAUUAAGUAUGAUGAGUUUAUUGCCAAACUAACUCUUCUUUUGAAACAUAUACCCAAAGUAACAUAAUUUUAAAUUUUAUUACCUUUCUAAUUCUUUUUUUGCCACAUAUGUUGCAUAUGUGGCAGGAUAGAUAUAGAGGCACAUUCCAUCUCUCUUUCCCAACUAAUAUCUUUCCAACUUUUUUUUCCAACUAAUAUCUUCUCCGAUUCUCUCUCUGAACCUUUCCAUUUUUUUUGGGAUAAUUUCAAAUACUUCCCCAGAAGUUUCUGACAGUCUCACUCCCCUUUCCUGUGGUUUCAAAAAUACCACAAACUUUCCCUAAAACUAAAUAGGCAGUCUCAAAGUAGACCCAAUUCAAAAAUACAAACAAUAAAAAAUGGAGAGUUGGAGAGAGAAACAACUAUAUACCACAAAUGCCCUGAUUAUCUUGCAUUAAUGAUUUUAUCUUUAUGACUAAUACUAAUUUACCUAUAAACACCUUACACGGGGUGAUCUAUGAGGUAUAAUCAGUUUACAAACAUGUACAUUAUGUUAGAUGUUAGUUACUUGCCUGUUUCUAUAUUGGUUAAAGGAUUCUAAUUUAUCGUUAAUUACGUUAAUUGUGUUUAUAACUAACUUCAAUAAAUUUGUCCUGAUAAUCACGAAAUAUUAGAGAGGUAGUUUUCUUCAAUAAAUAGCAUGUAUAUAAAUACUUAGUGAAUGUACAAUCUGGUUGAAAUAAUGUACACCGUGUUAUUGACCAAGUACGAUGCAUAGAAAUUGUUGAACAUGCAGUUAUUUGUUCACAUGCAUAUUGUAAUUAGUCAUCGCAGCAAUAUGCAUAGUGCAAUGGUAUGCAUACAUUUGGAAUGGUUAUUGGUACUUUGACCCACUUGUGCAUCUUCUUGCAAGUUUCAGUGGGUAUGUAAUUUUAUCUAUAUGACUAAUACUAAUUUGCCUAUAAAUACCUUACACGGGGUGAUCUAUGAGGUACAAUCAAUUUACAAACAUGUAUAUUAUAUUAGAUGUUAGUUACUUGCCUGUUUCUAUAUUGGUUAAAGGAUUCUAAUUUAUCGUUAAUUACAUUAAUUGUGUUUAUAACUAACUUCGCCAAAUUUGUCCUGAUAAUCACGAAAUAUUAGCUAACUUGUGAGAGUAUUUAAGUCUUUUUGGCCAUGAUGAUAUAAGAAAUGAGACCUAAAAUUCUAACAGGAGAGGUUUGUGAUAUUUUUGAAACCACAGGGGAGGAGAGUGAGACUGUCAGAAACCUCAGGGGAGGUAUCUGAAAUUAUCCUUUUUUUUCCUUUCGCUGUCUUUUUUCUUUCAUUAUUUUUCCUUGUCAAAUGUAAUUAUGAGAAGCCAAUAUUUACAUUAACAACAUCUAAAAUUUCAUUAUCAUUCCUGAUAUUGUAUCUAUGGAUGAAAAUAUUCUCCUCAAAUUGAUAAUCUUAAGGUAAAUGAAAAUUAUUCUAUUAUCUUUUCUAUUGUGCAGUUUUUGGAACAUUCCUAUAACCUUCAAAAAAAUUUGAAUACUAAUUGUUUUAACAAAUGAUUUCUCACACCGUGUUUGAUAAAAUGUUAAGAAGAAAACUACGUAACAACAUAGAUUCAUAUUCAAUAUGUUUGAUUGCCGCCACAUAUAUAAGUAUGUUCAUUUGUAGUGCCUCUCUAUCACAUGAUCAAAUAAUCUUGUAUACUUGAAGUAUUUUUGCACAUUUAUUCAACAUCAAUUAAUGGCUUUUGUUACUUUCAAGAAACUUUAGCAUCAUCUUAAUUGCAAUAGUUUGAUUACUUUUUGUAAAAGUUCUUUUCAAGGAGUAGGAAGUAUAACAUAAACAAAUAUGAUAGUCUUGAAGUUUUGUAACUUUUUCUUGUUAUUGCUUACAAUUUUCAUUGCAAUUUUUGUAUUUUGCAAAUUCAUUUUUGAAAAAUAUAUGCAAUAAGUUUGAUACAUUAAAAAAAUAUUGCUGAGAGCAAUAAUAGCAAGGUCAAUAGUGGUAGAAUUUAUUUUAAAUAAUUAUAAGGAAUUUAUUAAAGUUAAGCAAUCCUUUUGUGCCUCUAUAAUAAAAUAGUUUAAAUUUUUAGUUUUUGUUGGAAACUAUAGAUUAGAUUAAAGUUUUCAUUUUUUGUUAUCCUACAUAGCAAUCAGGGUAAUUAGGUGGCAACAAUAACAUCGAUUUGGGAAUAAAAUUUGAAAGUGAAUCAUAUUGAAAAUAUUUUUUAGAAAGAGUGUUAUUUUGACAAAAAACUGUAAGUAUGAUUAUGGUAAAAGUAAUUGAUGAAACUAGGUCUAGCUCCAUGAUACAUAAUCCGGAAGUUAUACAGUUGCUGGUCCUAAUUAUAGAGCAUAAUAUAAGUAUAAACGCAAUAAAUAAAGAUCACAAUGUAAUAAUAUGUAAAAAUACAACAAAUUUUGAUACUCUAUAAAAAUUGUGUAUCACAAUCAACUCAUGUGUCUAAUUUGAAAUCAAAAUGAUCAUACCAUCGGCUAUUCCUUGCAAUGGAACUAAUCCGAGAACUUCUCUCUAAUUCCUAAUUGAAAAAAAAUUAAUGAGUCAUCAGUCAUUAGAAUUUUACCCAUAUUGUUUAUUUUUUUUAGAUUAUAACCACGUUUAAGAUUUCGAAACUAUCCUCUAUUGUCAAAACAAAUUUAAAAGACAAUUAAUUUUAUUUUAAAUGAACCAUCUUUAUCAAAUUAUUAACAAAUGAGUCUCAAGAACGCUCCAUUUGUGGACUUGUUCUUAGUUAGUUAUUUUAAUUAAUUAUGGGUUCUAAUUUGAAUUAAUUAGCUUUGUGAUGUUCUUAGUCGUAUUUGUGUUAUGAUUGUAGAUUUUUUAAUAACAAGAAAGUUGAAAUCUACAAUCAUUCAAAAAAUGGCUUUUGCUGAAUCUGAUAAUUAAUUUUUAUAAUUAAAUUUUGUAAAAUCUAAAAUAACCGAGAACAAGGCUUUUAUAUAAGCUAACAAUAAGGCUAAAAUUUAUAAAGCACAUAAGACAAAUUGGUCAUUCUAAUUAUUUUAUCUAUGUCUGGUCUUUCUCUCAAUUUCCAUAAGAACCUAUGCCUUUCUUUUUUCUUUCUUGGAUUAAGGGUGCAUUUCAUAAAAAUUGAAAUCUGAAAAUUAAAAUUUGAAAUCCAAAAUAUUUUUUAUCCUGUUAGGCUAAUGUUUUUAUUUCCUUUUCUGGUGCACCCUUGGAGGCACCUCAAUCAUUCAACCUGAACUUUCUUACUUUGGUUUUAUCACGGUUUUCUCCUAUUUUCACUAUUUCUUUGGAAAAUAGUAAGCUCCCUCAUAUAAAACACAAAAAGGGCUAUUGCGCGAGAUAAAAGCAGGUGUAGCAACUGGAGGACGGAACAUCAUAUCUCCUAUCUCGUUUAAGCACCUUAUUGAUAAGAAAUGGAACUGCCGUAUAAAUCCCUCACAGUGGCUGUGAACUUUGUAGAGAGGUAGAGGUUGUCUGUUUAACAUUAAGAGCUCCUGAGUUCCCUCCAAUUUGGAAGAUUUUUGUUGCUGUCUAGUAAGGGAUGCUUUUUCUUUUUUGGUAUCAUAUGUACAUGCACAGAAUUGUAAUGGAAUCAGAUCUGGUUUGAAGCUAAAUGUUGGGUCUGAAUGGACAGCAUGUUGAUUUUGCAUUAUUAUUAGUCUUCUCACUUUGUGAACGAGCGUCACUUCUUUGGCAUAUGAUCAGGCAUGCAUAUUCUUUUGCUCAUAACUUUACAAAUGCACAAAUCUGUGAGGAUGCUUGUACUCCAUUUUAUACCCACUGGUUUGGUUAUGCUGAGAGAAUGAUGCCGUUUUCAUGCCCCCGACUGAACAAACGGUUUGAAAGACUUAUAUCAUUACGGACUGAUGAAAUGUUCUCAGGCAUUCUACGUUUUGGCCCAAGCAACUACUUGCCUGUUCAUUUGAGAGUGUCAGUCAAUGUUUCCUUGCUCGUUUGGUGGAUGUAUGUUACUGCAUCAUUAAAACGUCUCACCCCUCACCUCACCCCAGCCCAUGGCAAGGUAUUAUUCAGUAGUUAGGACUGAAUACUGAUGACAUCUUAUUUCCUACUUAUUGUGAAUCGGGCCAGUUUGUGCUAAGCUGACCAGUAAAAUAGCUGCUGGUCUUCCAGCCAGGUGGAAAAUGCUCCAAUAUAAAAUGCUCUAAACGCGCAUAAAUUUGGCCGGCGUCAGCAUAAUCUAUUCCUGGCUGAAGUCCUCAGUCCUCACCUAGGCUGACUAUUUUUUGUCUGGGUUUAGAAGGCUCUUAAGUCUACCAAGUGGACAUUGAUUAACCCCCAAGUCUGAUUUUGGGAGUUCAAAAUUAUGGUUUUGCUCCUUAGUAUUAUUAUUAAUCUCCGUCUCUCUGUAACUGAUUGGUAAAUUUUAUUGGCACCGAGUCCGAGAAGCUUGAAGAUCCUCUCGUGCUUAGGUGUAUUUGAUUUAUCAGAAAGUGGGUGCUAAGUUUUACUGCAGAGCUGUUAACAGAAAAUGCUUUCUGGCAGAUGACUACCGCAAUAUCGAUUGAAGAUGUCCGUAGGGAGGUAAAGAUAUUGAGAGCCUUGUCUGGACAUAAGAAUCUGGUCCAAUUUCAUGAAGCAUUUGAGGAUGCCCAGAACGUCUACAUAGUUAUGGAGCAUUUGAGGAUGCCCAGAACGUCUACAUAGUUAUGGAGCAUGUAUGCCCUAAUACACCAGUAUUUUCAUGCUUCCAAUUCAUAGAAGUUGUAAUUCAUUUUAUUGUACCCACAAAAAGGUUUGUUUCCACUGUAUUAACUUCCAAUCGUGAUUGAAUAUUAUCACAAAAAAGCAUUUUGCUAAAGCCUCGCAUCUCAUAAUAUAUUCUACAAUUGUUAUUAUUUUUCAGUUUAUCAGUGAUUGAUCAGUGAUUGGACAAAAUAUCAAUAGUGGCGCAUGCGAGUUGCAUGGCAAAGCUCUAUUUUUUUUAUAAUAAAAAAAAAAAAAAGUGGCGCAUGCGAGUUGCAUGGCACCCAAUAAUUGUAAACCGACAAAUGAAUGCAUCGCGUGCCUAAAAGCCAUAUACUGUACAACUAGCAUACGUAUUAUAUAGUGGAAAUGUGGUCUACCAUACUAAUAAAUCUAAACCAGUCAUAGUCCUUCAGACUCCAACAUUAUUCCUACUGCCCUAAAAAAGCAUAUUACUGUCUUUUCCUCUGCUCUGCUCUGAUCAGAUUACAAUACUACAACGAUAUAGAUUAAGUUUCAAGCAGUUGAAAACGUCGUCUCUCCCACACAAGAAAAGCCAAUUCAAGUUCCCCUCCCAAUCAUCAAGUGUGGUGAUAAUGUCGACCCGCAAUAGCUCCAACAUCAUAGCUUGCAAAGGUACUGAACCCACUACUAAUUGAUUGGCUCCUAGCUACAAUAAUGCAAUCUGUGUACAAUUGUCGUUGUUUCACACUUUACGUGUGGAUCGGUGGAUUUCUCGUUAUUGCUGCUCCCUUAAGUCCGUUCUUUCUAUUUUUGGGCAAUACAAGGAAUUGCCUACUCAUUACUUGUUAGUUCUCUUGUGCUAUUUUUCUCUUUGUAUCUCCAGAUAUCACAAUACUCCAUUUAAGGUUUAAUUGAUGAUGCUACACCCUCCCCCCUCCUUCAAAAAUAAAAAUAAAAAUAAAAAUAGGCGUUGUUUGCUGGGGAAAAGGCGAGGCACCCAAGGUAGAAGAGAUAGAGGUGGAACCUCCGAGAUCAGGUGAAGUUAGGGUAAAGAUGUUAUUUGCCAGCCUUUGUCACACUGAUGUCUUAUGCUGCAAUGGCUUUCCAACGGUUACUACUCUCUCUUUACUCCUCAUAUACCUUUUUUUUUUUUUUUGGUAAUCCUGUUUUCCGAUUUUUAACUCAACUCUCUUUCUUUCUCACUUGUUUUGGUAAUCCUCAUUCCAGCCUCUAUUUCCUCGAGUUCUGGGACAUGAAGGUGUUGGGUAAUCGAUUUCUCUUCCAAUCUCUCUUUUGUUCUUGCAUUUUGCUUCAGUAAUUCAGUUUCAACUUUUAAAUUUCAGACUUCAACUAUCAAUUUUAUAGAAUGACCAAAUAGAGCUGAAUAGUAAUCCCUUUCAUCUUCUCUCCAGCCAGAUAGAGAGUGUCGGUGAAGAAGUCUUUCACCUCAAAGUGGGAGACAUGGUCAUUCCUACGUACUUGGGGGAGUGUAAAAAAUGCAACAACUGUAUUUCCGGAAAGACCAACCUAUGCGAGACCUACCCCUUGCAAGCUUUCACCGGAUUAAUGCCAGAUGGUUCAUCAAGAAUGUCCAUUAUAACUUCAGGUCGCCGCCAAAUGCUGUACCAAUUUCUUAGUUGCUCCACAUGGUCCCAGUAUACCAUUGUAGACGCUAACUACGUCGUGAAGAUGGAUUCACGGCUAGCUCUACCACACGCUAGCUUCCUGUCCUGCGGUUUCACCACUGGGUUUGGAGCAACUUGGAAAGAAGCCAAGGUUGAAAAAGGUUCUACCGUUGCUAUUUUUGGCCUUGGCGCUGUUGGAUUGGGAGUAAGUGCAACAUCAACAUGCCAAAUGUUAGGACGAGGGACGAUGCGGUUAGGAUUUCGUGCAGUUCUAACGGUUGUCAUUCUUCUUACAUAAUUUGGUGUACCACCAUAUAACCUUGGUGUAUUCGUACACUUUUUUCAUGCACAUCAACUCAAUGUGUAAAUACAACUAGGUACACCAAUAUAUGAAGAAAUACAACAACCUCAUAUAAUUGCACGAAAUACAAUCGUAUCUAUCCCAAUGAAUCCUUCCUCAAUCUGUCCCGUUCUUCUCAUAGGACCUAACUUUCAAAUGCAAUGCAGGCAGUUGAGGGUGCUCGAGUGCGCGGAGCAGCACAAAUUGUAGGCAUUGACAUCAACAAAGACAAGCGCGAAAAGGGGGAAGCUUUUGGAAUGACGCAUUAUAUAAACCCCAAAGCCAUUGGUGAUAUAUCCAUCUCAGAAAUGGUGAAAGAGCUAACUAAUGGACGAGGAGUGGACUAUAGCUUUGAAUGCACGGGGGUUCCUGAUUUGGUUAACGAAGCUUUGGAAACCACCAAAAUGGUAAUUAACUGUCCCAUAACACAACCAUGGAGCAUAGUAUUUGAAACAGCUACUAAUUCCAAGUUAUCUUUUUCUUGGUAAUUUGCUAUCAGGGAGUAGGGAAAACGAUAAUGCUUGGAGCAGGGACUCAAAAGAGCAUGGAAAUCGACUUCAUUUCCCUGCUUGGAUGCAGAACAUUCAAAUACUCUAUUUUUGGUGGGGUUAAAGUCCAGUCUGACCUUCCAGUUGUGAUUGACAAAUGCAUCAAUAAGGUAGAAUAAUCUUCAAGAAAAAUGCACUGAAAUUCCAUUUAUCUUUAGCAUAGCUUUUUCUUCAAAAAUUUCGGAUACUUUCCUAUUCAAAAGUACAAACCUUAACUGAAAUAAUUCAAUUCUCCACCAUCCAACAGAGGAGAGAUCAGAAACGAAAACUUUCUACGUUGACCACAGAAAUUAGCUGAAAUUUCCCAUCUAUCUUGCAGGAGAUACAGAAACUAGAUCAGCUUUUAACUCAUGAAAUUCAACUCAAGGACAUAAACCGAGCCUUUGAUCUACUGAAGGAACCUGACUGCGUCAAGGUUCUCAUCCAGUUAUGAUUGCCCAGCAAGAAUUUUCAAUAUGACUUUUGGUCUUUUUGGUUUUCAAUCUUAUCUUAUUGUAGUCCAAAACAAAAGGAAGCAAUAAAAGAGAUCUUGAGUUUUGCCGCCCUCAGAUCCUUCAGGGUACUUUUAAUAUGACAACCGGAAGAGAGUGAAGCACCGGGAACAAGGUUCAAUUCUUCACAAAGCAAAUGAAAAAGCUGCGAUUAAUAUGACAAUUGACUUAAAAAUUCAAUAUAUCGCGCUAUGCACUGCCAUUGAAUAAAAAGAUCCAAGUGAAGGGUCUGUUUCAUAUUACCCCUAUCAGUUCUCCUGUAACAAGUUCCGUAAGAUGCUCGGAACUCAUUUUUAACAAAGCAGGCAGGGUACUUUUGGCAUCUGAUUUUCAGUCCUGACGCGACGCAAAUAGUAAUAAAGAAAGCAAAAGUAAGUGAGGGGUCAGAUAGUGACCAUCAUCGCAAGCAAUGUUUAGUACUCAGCAUAACAAAACACAUCAUGUCAUUGCAAGCAAUGUAAAAUUCCGAGCAUUGUUAGGUAAUGACAUCAUCCAAUCCUGCCGAAUAAGUUCACGAGAAAGCCAAAAACUAAUCAGUAAGCUAUAAGCCAACAUUAAGCAAUACACACGACAAAGAAACUACCAAUAUCUCAUGUACCAUUCAAGGUACCAAAUGAUCAUUUGAUAUAAUACUACUAUGUUGUCCAGUAAACAAUGUCAUAUUCCAUAUUCUCUAUUCAAGUGACAUCAUCAUCAAGCACUACAGACGUGUCUAUGAACACCUUGGCUCAUUGCUACAGUGCAUAAACUUGAAGGAAGUUGCCUAUGCAUUUAACCAUUUGCUGAUAAAACACGUUUGACAGUCAAGAAAACCCUUAGGCCUUGACAGUCAAACAUGAUUACUAUGAAAGAAGACUCAAA
rnacentral:lncRNA from 1 species